rnacentral:rRNA from 1 species
AUUGAACGCUGGCGGCAGGCUUAACACAUGCAAGUCGAGCGGGGUGAUGGUGCUUGCACUAUCACUUAGCGGCGGACGGGUGAGUAAUGCUUAGGAAUCUGCCUAUUAGUGGGGGACAACAUCUCGAAAGGUAUGCUAAUACCGCAUACGUCCUACGGGAGAAAGCAGGGGAUCACUUGUGACCUUGCGCUAAUAGAUGAGCCUAAGUCGGAUUAGCUAGUUGGUGGGGUAAAGGCCUACCAAGGCGACGAUCUGUAGCGGGUCUGAGAGGAUGAUCCGCCACACUGGGACUGAGACACGACCAAGACUCCUCCGGGAGGCAGCAGUGGGGAAUAUUGGACAAUGGGGGGAACCCUGAUCCAGCCAUGCCGCGUGUGUGAAGAAGGCCUUAUGGUUGUAAAGCACUUUAAGCGGGGAGGAGGCUCUUUUGGUUAAUACCCAAGAUGAGUGGACGUUACUCGCAGAAUAAGCACCGGCUAACUCUGUGCCAGCAGCAGCCGCCG